rnacentral:sRNA from 1 species
AUGAUAUGAUCAAAAGCUAACUUCACGGCGUCCUGCCGCAACGCUUUUGUGACCUGCUCAGCAGG